rnacentral:rRNA from 1 species
CCUACGGGUGGCAGCAGUGGGGAAUAUUGGGCAAUGGGCGCAAGCCUGACCCAGCAACGCCGCGUGAAGGAAGAAGGCUUUCGGGUUGUAAACUUCUUUUCUCAGGGACGAAGAGAGUGACGGUACCUGAGGAAUACGCGACGACUAACUACGUGGCAGCAGCAGGGGGAAUACGUAGGUCGCAAGCUUUAUUCGGGUUUAUUGGGUGUAAAGGGCGUGUAGGCUGGAGCGUAAAUUAGACGUGAAAUCUCAGGGCUCAACCCUUAGCGUGCAUUUGAAACUGCAUUUCUUGAGUGCGGGAGAGGCAAGCGGAAUUCGGGGUGUAGCGGUGAAAUGCGUAGAUAUACGGAGGAACACCGGUUGCGAAGGCGGAUUGCUGGACAGUAACUGACGCUGAGGCGCGAAAGCGUGGGGAGCAAACAGGAUUAGAUACCCGAGUAGUC